rnacentral:rRNA from 1 species
AUUGAACGCUGGCGGCAGGCUUAACACAUGCAAGUCGAGCGAGCGGCGGACGGGUGAGUAAUGUCUGGGAAACUGCAUGAUGGAGGGGGAUAACUAAUGGAAACGGUAGCUAAUAGCGCAUAACGUCAGAGGUGCCCAGAUGGGAGUAGCUAGGAGGUGGGGUAAUGGCUCACCUAGGCGACGAUCCCUAGCUGGUCUGAGAGGAUGACCAGCCACACUGGAACUGAGCAACGGCCCAGACUCCUACGGGAGGCAGCAGUGGGGAAUAUUGGAAAAUGGGGGCAAGCCUGAUGAAGCCAUGCCGCGGGUGUGAAGAAGGCCUUCGGGUUGUAAAGCACUUUCAGCGAGGAGGCGUUACUCGCAGAAGAAGCACCGGCUAACUCCGUGCCAGCAGCCGCGGUAAUAC